GACGAACGCUGGCGGCGUGCUUAACACAUGCAAGUCGAACGGAAAGGCCCUGCUUUUGUGGGGUGCUCGAGUGGCGAACGGGUGAGUAACACGUGAGUAACCUGCCCUUGACUUUGGGAUAACUUCAGGAAACUGGGGCUAAUACCGGAUAGGAGCUCCUGCUGCAUGGUGGGGGUUGGAAAGUUUCGGCGGUUGGGGAUGGACUCGCGGCUUAUCAGCUUGUUGGUGAGGUAGUGGCUUACCAAGGCUUCGACGGCUAGCCGGCCUGAGAGGGUGACCGGCCACAAUGGGACUGAGAUACGGCCCAGACUCCUACGGGAGGCAGCAGUGGGGAGUAUUGCGCAAUGGGCGGAAGCCUGAUACAGCAGCGCCGCGUGCGGGAUGACGGCCUUCGGGUUGUAAACCGCUUUCGCCUGUAACGAAGCGUGAGUGACGGUAAUGGGUGAAGAAGCACCGGCUAACUACGUG
rnacentral:rRNA from 1 species